CGCCUGUUUAUCAAAAACAUAGCUUAUUGAGUAUAUAGUAAGUGUAUUCUGCUCAAUGAAUAUAUGUUGUUUUAAUUGCUGCAGUAUUUUGACUGCACUAAGGUAGCAUAAUCAAUUGGCUUUUAAUUAAAGUCUAGAAUGAAUGGGAGUAUGGGGUAAAUUUGUAUUGUUCUAAUUAUAAUUAAAUUAGGAUCUAAGUAAAAACUCUUAGAGUUUUAAUUAAGACGAAAAGACCCUAUAGAAUUUAUAUAUUUUGUUUUGAUGGGGCAUCAAAGAAUAUUUAUCGUUCUUUAGUUAAAUUACCUUAGGGAUAACAGCUUAAAAUGGAGUUUACUUCUUAGAUAAGACCUCGAUGUUGGACUAGAAAUCAAUUUGUUUAAAAAAUUUAUUUAAUUUGAUAGGUCUGUUCGACCUAAUAUCUUCUACGUGAUCUGAGUUCAGACC
rnacentral:rRNA from 1 species